CCUGUUUCCUUCCUUUCUCUCUCCAGCUUCCCCAGGCCUUGCCCUGUUGCUCUGCCAGCCACCCCAGCACAGCCCUCUCAGAAGGCUUUUAUUUUGAAGCCUGCACAGGGUCUUCGGUGACCUGUUUUCCCCAGAGUUUGCCCACAGGGCUUGGAAAGCCUCCCUUACCACAUGGCACUGUGCACACCAAUCUGGCCUGGUUCUUUUGGCCUAAAGAUCCCUCAUCCCUGGGACCUCCAUUUUCAGGAUGGGGACAUGGAGCACGGAGCCCAUGGCACACACCAAACAAACAACAUUGAAUGGCGUGUGAAACGAUGGUUCACCACCUGACACCUUCACCCAAAUGGGCUUGCGGAUUGGCUUAGCCUUUGAGAGGACAGAUGUAGGAUUGACAGCCCUCGAUAGAUGGGAGCCAGUUGACCUUGCACCGGGGGUCCUCAUCCAUCAGGGGAGAGGGGAGCAGAUGACUUCCAAGUUCAGGAAAACACCUUGUUUCAUUUUGGUGUUGUUUUUGCUGAAAAGGAGAGGCCUCCUGAGAAAAGUCUGGAUAAAAGAGAGUUGCACAUACAGAAAGCAAUCAACUACUUUGUGGAAAAAAGUUACAGGCAUUGGUCUCUCCUCUGACCUGAGCCCUUGCUGACAUAGAAGAAAAAAAAAAAAAAAAAUAUAUAUAUAUAUAUAUAUAUAUGAUAGUCCGUCUGUCAAGGACAAAGAGAAGAGAAAGAGCAUCAGUGGAUGUGAGAUGGUAACACACUGUGGAAAGCAGGAUUUGCUUGGAGGAAAGGUAAUAUAUUCAGAAGAGCAGAAAACCUACACCAUGGCCAGCCGCGGUGGCCCAUGCCUGUAAUCCCAGCACUCUGGGAGGCCGAGGCAGGCGGAUCACCUGAGGUCAGAAGUUGGAGACCAGUCUGACCAACAUGGAGAAACCCCGUCUCUAAUACAAAAUUAGCUGGGUUUGGUGGUAGGUGCCUGUAAUUCCAGCUACCCGGUGUGUGGGGGAGUGGUUGCUGAGGCAGGAGAAUUGCUUGAAUCUGGGAGGUGGAGGUUGCAGUGAGCCGAGAUUGCGCCAUUGCACUCUAGCCUGGGCAACAGGAGUGAAACUCCAUUAAAAUUAAAAAAAAAAAAGGGAAGGAAGGAAGGAAGAAAGAAAGAAAGAAAGAGAGAAAGAGAGAAAGAGAACCUACACCACGCAGAGGGAAGUGCCAGUGAGAAGAAAACCAACGAGCUUAGACCACCCCCCAUAGGAUCCCUAAGGUGAGGGGAGCAGGUGGAGAGGACGACGGGGGUGCAGUGAGAGCCAGCAGCCUGGGACUUAUCCUUGAGCCUUCUAUGAGAGGUGGAUUCUCUGAGGGUGGCAGAGAGGAGAUUCUCAGGACACCACGGCCACCAGCAUAGUGGAGGGCUAUGAGUGCCCUACAGAGGGGCAUGUGCAGAGCCCCUCAUCCCCUGGUCACCCAUACACCUUCCGCCCUUCCGUUAGAGUCUGUAGAUGGGGUUUUGGGGGCAUAAGGGGCAGGUCUGUGCCCUACAUGGGACAAUGCAGGGCUCUGGGAGGCACAGGAUUCAGAUGGGACUGAGUGGGGGCAGAGGAACAAGGGGAGACAAGACCCUUUCCCUCCCUCCUCAUAGAAGAAGAAGAGUUUUGGAAAGACCUGGGAGGGAUGCUGGAGAAAGUCUAGAUCCUGCUGUUAAGUGGAAAGGGAAGUGGUCUGAGCGUCAAACUUCACCCUGAGGCUGAAGCCCAUUCUAAGAUUGGUGUGAAGUCCAUUCUAAUAUUCUAAAAAUCACCUCAUGAUCUUCCUUACCCCCCUCAGGGCUCCAGGGCACCCUCCAGGGCACCACCAUAACAAUCCUAAUUGCAUCACCUUAAGCACCUACUGUGUGCCAGGCAGAUGUUCCGUUUUGAACCCUUGUGACACCUUUCUAGUGGAUGGUGUGUGGAGUCUUUCAGGAGAAUUAGGAAUUGGUUAAGCAGAGAUAUUGGGGGUGGGGGUUGGAGGCACUGGAACAUGCAAAGGCCUGGGCACAAUGGAGCUUGGCGGGGGGACACCUGCCAAAGAAUUUCAGCUGGGAGAGGAGAGAAAUGAGGCUGGAGUCAAGCUGGAACCUGCCAGAAUGAGAGCAAUAUGGACUUGUUUUCUUAGCCACUGUGAGGCCUGGAGGGAUGGGAUGUGUGGGGUUAGUCAUAUUCAGGAAAGGCCUCCCAGAAGGGGGCAUGGAUGACAAACCACAGGACAGAUGCAGGACGAGACCAGGUAGGCCACUGUUGAAAUUAUUCAGGCAGGAGAGGAGGGAAGUCUGAAUUGAAGC
rnacentral:lncRNA from 1 species